rnacentral:rRNA from 1 species
CCUACGGGUGGCAGCAGUGAGGAAUAUUGGUCAAUGGGAGAGAUCCUGAACCAGCCAAGCCGCGUGAGGGAAGACGGCCCUAUGGGUUGUAAACCUCUUUUGUCGGAGAACAAAACCCGGCGCGUGUCCCUGACUGCGUGUAUCCGACGAACAAGCAUCGGCUAACUCCGUGCCAGCAGCCGCGGUAAUACGGAGGAUGCGAGCGUUAUCCGGAUUUAUUGGGUUUAAGGGGGGCGUAGGCGGUCCGUUAAGUCAGCGGUAAAAGUGCGGGGCUCAACCCCGGCGAGCCGUUGAAACUGGCAGACUUGAGUGGGCGAGAAGUAAGCGGAAUGCGCGGUGUAGCGGUGAAAUGCAUAGAUAUCGCGCAGAACUCCGAUUGCGAAGGCAGCGUACCGGCGGCAGACUGACGCUGAGGCACGAAAGCGUGGGGAUCGAACAGGAUUAGAUACCCGUGUAGUC